AGAGGUUUGCAUUUGUUGACUCCAUUGACUAUUUUCUUGAUAAUGUAGCUGGGAUAAACUAGAAAACAAGUUUCCCCAUGGUCAGCUGGAAAUACUCAUAUUGCACUUGGACGGAGCAGAUUGUUUCUGAAGAGGGCCAGUGAUGAGCACCAGUUCCCUCCUUGCCCAGGCCAACAGCGUUUCACAGGACCCCUGGGAUCGUCCUGAUGGUUCUCUUCCAAACAAUGAUCUAGAAAGAUGCCCCGUGUCAAGUUGCUUGCCUUUCGAAGGUCUUCAAAUCAUUGUUCCUCCAUAUCAUAUUCAGAGCUAGUGCUUUCAUGCUGAGGGAGCUAGUGUUUUCAUGUGAAAGGCUUCUAAUCACUGGGGCUUCUUAAAGAGGCUAGUGUCACACAUGUGGAAACAUCUAAGAGGACUCAUAAUGUCAACAUGCAUUUCCCCAAUAAGUAAACAAGAGAAAUGACACUGACAAGAACAAGAAAUGAUUAUUUCUUCUGCCAAAGUUGGAAGCGACCAGAUACGGAUGUGCGUAUUUUAAGAUCAUGGUUUGUGCUGUUGGAGUAGGAAUAAGUAAAAGCUCUUUAAUUUGAAUCUGAAAAGAAAAUGAAAA
rnacentral:lncRNA from 1 species